ensembl:scaRNA small Cajal body-specific RNA 1
AAGCACUUGAUACUAACCGAGCUAUCUGUAUCCCAGCUCUCAUGUAGAGAUCUGAGAUAUAACUUGUGAUUGCUGGGUCUGAGAAGUGCAAUAUUAAAACAAGCCAUGAAGUAUUAAGCUCAGUGUGUAGAGGAUCACACUGGGUUAUAACUCAGGGGCACAGAG